UUGUGUGUUAGUGGAAGCGUCUGGAAAGUCGCAGGGUACAGGGUGACACUCCCGUACACAAAAACACACAGGCUGUGAGCUCGAUGAGUAGGGCGGGACACGUGAUAUCCUGUCUGAAGAUGGGGGGACCAUCCUCCAAGGCUAAAUACUCCUGACUGACCGAUAGUGAACCAGUACCGUGAGGGAAAGGCGAAAAGAACCCCGGCGAGGGGAGUGAAACAGAACCUGAAACCGUGUACGUACAAGCAGUGGGAGCCUCUUUAUGGGGUGACUGCGUACCUUUUGUAUAAUGGGUCAGCGACUUAUAUUCUGUAGCAAGGUUAACCGUAUAGGGGAGCCGCAGGGAAACCGAGUCUUAACCGGGCGUUAAGUUGCAGGGUAUAGACCCGAAACCCGGUGAUCUAGCCAUGGGCAGGUUGAAGGUUGGGUAACACUAACUGGAGGACCGAACCGACUAAUGUUGAAAAAUUAGCGGAUGACCUGUGGCUGGGGGUGAAAGGCCAAUCAAACCGGGAGAUAGCUGGUUCUCCCCGAAAGCUAUUUAGGUAGCGCCUCGUGAACUCAUCUCCGGGGGUAGAGCACUGUUUCGGCUAGGGGGCCAUCCCGGCUUACCAACCCGAUGCAAACUGCGAAUACCGGAGAAUGUUAUCACGGGAGACACACGGCGGGUGCUAACGUCCGUCGUGAAGAGGGAAACAACCCAGACCGCCAGCUAAGGUCCCAAAGUCAUGGUUAAGUGGGAAACGAUGUGGGAAGGCCCAGACAGCCAGGAUGUUGGCUUAGAAGCAGCCAUCAUUUAAAGAAAGCGUAAUAGCUCACUGGUCGAGUCGGCCUGCGCGGAAGAUGUAACGGGGCUAAACCAUGCACCGAAGCUGCGGCAGCGACACUUAUGUGUUGUUGGGUAGGGGAGCGUUCUGUAAGCCGUCGAAGGUGUGCUGUGAGGCAUGCUGGAGGUAUCAGAAGUGCGAAUGCUGACAUAAGUAACGAUAAAGCGGGUGAAAAGCCCGCUCGCCGGAAGACCAAGGGUUCCUGUCCAACGUUAAUCGGGGCAGGGUGAGUCGACCCCUAAGGCGAGGCCGAAAGGCGUAGUCGAUGGGAAACAGGUUAAUAUUCCUGUACUUGGUGUUACUGCGAAGGGGGGACGGAGAAGGCUAUGUUGGCCGGGCGACGGUUGUCCCGGUUUAAGCGUGUAGGUGUGUGCUCCAGGCAAAUCCGGAGCGCUUUAACACUGAGGCGUGACGACGAGGCACUACGGUGCUGAAGCAACAAAUGCCCUGCUUCCAGGAAAAGCCUCUAAGCAUCAGGUAACACGAAAUCGUACCCCAAACCGACACAGGUGGUCAGGUAGAGAAUACCAAGGCGCUUGAGAGAACUCGGGUGAAGGAACUAGGCAAAAUGGUGCCGUAACUUCGGGAGAAGGCACGCUGGUGCGUAGGUGAAGCGACUUGCUCGCGGAGCUGAAACCAGUCGAAGAUACCAGCUGGCUGCAACUGUUUAUUAAAAACACAGCACUGUGCAAACACGAAAGUGGACGUAUACGGUGUGACGCCUGCCCGGUGCCGGAAGGUUAAUUGAUGGGGUUAUCGCAAGAGAAGCUCCUGAUCGAAGCCCCGGUAAACGGCGGCCGUAACUAUAACGGUCCUAAGGUAGCGAAAUUCCUUGUCGGGUAAGUUCCGACCUGCACGAAUGGCGUAAUGAUGGCCAGGCUGUCUCCACCCGAGACUCAGUGAAAUUGAACUCGCUGUGAAGAUGCAGUGUACCCGCGGCAAGACGGAAAGACCCCGUGAACCUUUACUACAGCUUGACACUGAACAUUGAGCCUUGAUGUGUAGGAUAGGUGGGAGGCUUUGAAGCGUGGACGCCAGUCUG
rnacentral:rRNA from 1 species